rnacentral:rRNA from 1 species
GAUGAACGCUGGCGGCGUGCCUAAUACAUGCAAGUCGAGCGAACAGACGAGGAGCUUGCUCCUCUGACGUUAGCGGCGGACGGGUGAGUAACACGUGGAUAACCUACCUAUAAGACUGGGAUAACUUCGGGAAACCGGUGCUAAUACCGGGUAAUAUAUUGAACCGCAUGGUUCAAUAGUGAAAGACGGUUUUGCUGUCACUUAUAGAUGGAUCCGCGCCGCAUUAGCUAGUUGGUAAGGUAACGGCUUACCAAGGCGACGAUGCGUAGCCGACCUGAGAGGGUGAUCGGCCACACUGGAACUGAGACACGGUCCAGACUCCUACGGGAGGCAGCAGUAGGGAAUCUUCCGCAAUGGGCGAAAGCCUGACGGAGCAACGCCGCGUGAGUGAUGAAGGUCUUCGGAUCGUAAAACUCUGUUAUUAGGGAAGAACAAAUGUGUAAGUAACUAUGCACGUCUUGACGGUACCUAAUCAGAAAGCCACGGCUAACUACGUG